GGGAAGGGCCCACUCACUGAACUAACUCCCUUCCCUCUACUCCCAGAGCCCGCCCGGCAGGACCACCGAGCAAGGCCUUGGAAAACCAGAGAGAUUAGAGCGCAGAAUGGGGAAAUGGAGAGAGAACCUGAAAGAGCCCCAAACUCGAGGACCUAUUGCUCCCCAAGAAUAACAUCUUCCAGAAGAACUAGACAGAAAACUAGGCGUCUGGGAACUCUGAAAUCCUUGGAGGAGUAGCAUCAUCAUGACCCUCUGUGUUCCUUUUGGCAAAGGACUUGCUCCCAUUGUUUGCUUGUUCCAUUGUCUGUCUGUUAAAUAAAUAAAACCCUUUUCAUAUAUCUUUAAA
ensembl:lncRNA novel transcript